rnacentral:ncRNA from 2 species
GAAAAUGCAAAGGGGUGCCUCUAUGGCUGAGAUGUAUGUACAAACCCUUGAACCUGUUACGUUAAUGCGUGCGUAGGAAUUGUAUUCGAUUUCGAA